rnacentral:lncRNA from 1 species
GGAGCUUCCAUGGGUAGAGAGCAGCUGUCUCCCUGCCGCAAAUGUCUGCCUUCCAAUGUGUUGAGGGUAGCAGGGCAGUGUGACAGAGAUGUGAGCAAGUAGGUGGGGUCAGUAAGUGUAUCCCCACUCUCCAUUUUAGAAGGGCAAUAAGGGCAAUUUGUUGUUGUUUAGUCGUUUAUUCGUGUCCGACUCUUUGUGACCCCAUGGACCAGAGCACGCCAGGCACUCCUGUCUUCCACUGCCUCCCGCAGUUUCAUCAAACUCAUGUUGGUAGCUUUGAGAACACUGUCCAACCAUCUGGUCCUCUGUCGUCCCCUUCUCCUUGUCCCCUUCUUUCACAACAUCAGGGUCUUUUCCAGAGAGUCUUCUGUUCUCAUGAGGUGGCCAAAGUAUUGGAGCCUCAGCUUCAUGAUCUGUCCUUCCAGUGAGCACUCAGGGCUGAUUUCCUUCAGAAUGGAUAGGUUUGAUCUUCUUGCAGUCCAUGGGACUCUCAAGAGUCUCCUCCAGCACCAUAAUUCAAAAGCAUCAAUUCUUUGGCGAUCAGCCUUCUUUAUGGUCCAGUUUUCACUUCCAUACAUCACUACUGGGAAAACCAUAGCUUUAACUAGAGGACCUUUGUUGGCAAGGUGAUGUCUCUGCUUUUUAAGAUGCUGUCUAGGGCCAUAGCUCAAUUAAAAAAAAAAAAAAGUAUCUGUGUUUCAUGCAGAAAGCCCCAGCAUCAGUCCCUAGCAUCUCCAGAUAGAACUGGGAGAGAACUAUGUCUGAAAUCUUGGAGAGUCACUGCCAGAAGGUGUAAGACAAUACUGCGAUGGAUGGGCCAACAGCCUCACUUGGUAUAAGGCUGCUCCUAAUGUCUGAACAGAGCUUUUGUUGAGCAGUUUCCUGUCUGCCUUCUUGCAGUCUAACAAUGAAUCACUUUCACCUUGCUGGAAAAGUUCCAGCGGCUUUGUUUAACCAUGGCUCUAUGCUUAAGACUCACUUUUAGUUCUUCCGCGGCUCUGACGCAAUUAUCCAUGCAGUAGUAGGAAGAUUUAAGACAGUUUCCUGGAAUGACCUAUAGAUAACCCAACAGAGACAACUUCCACAGUGCACAGCUCAAAGAUCGCUCUUCCCUCCCUAUCCAGCCCACCAAAAAACCAGACCACCUCACACCCCAUAAUAUAUGACACCUUCUUUACUCUGCCUGCCUGGAGAGAUUUGUAAGCAUAAUUUGAUCUUCCCAUGAUGGUAUGAUGGCACACGUUGUUGAUCAUGAUGAAAUCUCAGGUUCCUUUUCUUGUCAUAAAUGUAACCUAUUCCCACCAUGCCAUCAUGGGGAUAUUAAAUUAUGCGUACACAUCUCUGUAGCCAGCCAAGGUUAAGAAUGAAUUGCAUAUCCUGUACGAUGGAGUUGCAAGGAGGUCUAGCUGUUUAGCUAGGGAAAGGGAGCAGGCAGAGUGAUCAUAACCUAUAUACUGCUGGAAUAUUUCUGUUCUUUUUCUUGGCUUAUAUUUAAGACACUUGCCUUUGUGUUUCAGCGCUAAGAGUAUGCCCAGUACUAAGAGCAGUGCUCUCUUUUUUCUAGAAAAAAAAAGGUGCAGGAACUCUCGCUUUUUCUGAGCUUUUCUUAGGGUGCCACCAAAGUUGCUGAGUUUUAUUUUAGGAUGCGCCGAAGUUGUCAAGCCACUGAAAACACAUACCUCCCUUAAGGAGAUUCUUUCCGAAGAGAAGAAGAAGAAGAAGAGUUUGGAUUUGAUAUCCUGCUUUAUCACUACCCGAAGGAGUCUCAAAGCGGCUAACUUUCUCCUUUCCCUUUCUUCCCCACAACAAACACUCUGUGAGGUGAGUGGGGCUGAGAGACUUCAAAGAAGCAUGACUAGCCCAAGGUCACCCAGCAGCUGCAUGUGGAGGAGCGGAGAUGCGAACCCAGUUCCCCAGAUUGCGAGUGCAGAAAAUGUGCAACACACCAACUCCUGCUCCAUCCAAAUUUCAGCACCCAGAAAACGCACUGCCUGCUGGAGCCCCCAGGAGAGGUGCCAGAACUAAGUUCCGAAGUGUUCUGGCUGGGGGAAAAGCCCUGACUAGGAGGCUAAGUGAACAUCUGCACUAUACAUUUAAAGCAAGAUCAUGCCACUUCAAACAGUCGCAAAGAAUCCUGGGAACCGUAGUUUGUUAAGGGUGCUGAGAGUUGCAUGGGAACUCCUGUUCCCCUCACAGAAAUCCCAUAGCCCUCUGGGAAAUACAGCUAUGUGAGGGGGAUAGUAAUUCCAAAUAAUUACUGCCGUUUUCUUUGGUCUGCUAUUGUUAUUACUGAAAUCUGUAGAACUGACUUUUCCAAUAAGGAGUAACAUAAAACACUAACAAGCAAAGUGCAUAAAUGCAUGCUGUCAAAUGUUAAGAUUUUAUCUCUGAUUCUUUCCCUUAGUUCGGAUUAGUCUCUUUGCCCUGCAGUACAUGAAAAACAAUCAGUGUUUGGGAAACGUAUUGAGCAUAUUCCUAACAUCUCUUUUGUCAUUGUAGCUAAAUACCUUGCAGUCCUGAACCCAAUAUAUCCACAAAAGGGUGGAUAUAUUGGGUCAAUUUCUGUUUCUGUCUAGGAAAAAGAGCUGCACAGAUAACUGAGAGACUGAACGAGAGAGAAUUUUUGCAUCCGAAUAUAAAUGUUGGGAGGCAGGUGUCUAUUCGCCCUCCUUAGAACGGAGGAUGGCAUAACGGAGGGGAGGAGUGCUAAAGGCAAGAUGGCAACUAGACAAGUUGCACAACAGAUGGCAUAAAACAUUAGUGGAGAAAUAUUCCAAAGCAUAAAAAACAAAUACAUGGGCAAAACAUAGCCUUUUCUUAUUUAUGUACUUAGCAUUAGGGAAAUUCAUGGAGGACAAGGCUAUUGGUGGCUAUGAGCCAUAAUGGAAAUGUUCUAUCUCCACUGUCAGAGGCAAGUAAAAAAGGUAAAGGUAAAGGACCCCUGGAUGUUUAAAUCCAGUCAAAGGUGACUAAGGGGUUGCGGCACUCAUCUCAUUUACAGGUCGAAGGAGCCGGUGUUUGUCCACAGACAGCUUUCUGAUGUCAUGUGGCCAGCAUGACUAAACCGCUUCUGGCACAAUGGGACAUCAUGAUGGAAACCAAAGUGCAUGGAAACACCAUUUACCUUCCCACCGCAGUGGUACCUGUUUAUCUACUUGCACUGGCGUGCUUUCGACCUGCUAGGUUGGCAGGAGCUGGGACAGAGCAACGGGAGCUCACCCCGUCACAGAGAUUCAAAUCUCCAACCUUCUGAUUGGCAAGCCCAAGAGGCUCAGUGGUUUAGACCACAGUGCCACCCCUGUCAGAGGCAAGUAUGUUUCUCUGAAUACAUAGGUACCUUGGUUGCCAAAUUUAAUCCAUUCUGGAGUCCGUUUGACUCCCAAAACCAUUUGAAAACCAAGGCGCUGCUUCCAAUUGGCUGCAGGAGCUUCCUGCACUCAUGUGGAAGCCAUGUUGGAUGUUUGGCUUCCGAAAAGCAUUCGCAAACCGGAACACUUAACUUCCAGGUUUGGGAGCCAAUUUGUUCAGGAGCCAAGCCGUUCAAGUACCAAGGUACCACUGUAUGAAUUUCUGGGAUCACAAGGAGGGAGAGUUGCCAUUUCACUCAGAUUCUUCUUGUCAGCUUCCCAUAGGCAUCCGGUUCGACAUUAUAAGAAAAGGCUAAUUGUUUGGAAUGUUUGCUAUAAGACACUUUGGGUGCCACUCAUUGUGGAAAAGUGGCAUAUAAGUUUUUGGUGAAAACAGCCUGAAAAGAGCACAAAAACAGCAAAAUGGUGCAGAAACAGCAUCUAGCAAUCCCAUGAGCCUUUGCAAGUGCAAUCCCAGGAGUGCUGCUGGUUUUUUUAAGGGAUUUUCAAGGGUUUCCAGUGUCUUAGAAGGUAUUUACAGGCUUUCUCAGUGGAGUUCCCAAUAUACAUGAUUUCACUUAAACUUGUGGUGCCUCGGAAUGUAAUCCCCGUGUAAAUGGGGAGUUGCCUGUAAUGGCAUUCUUCCAGAGGCAAAAACAGGAAUAUAUGGUUAGUCUUUUUCUUCUGAGCUGAGCUGAACUAAAAAGCUUUGGAUGUAGAAAGCCUGAUGUCUUGUUCAUGGUUUUCAAAGGCAAAUCUUAGAUAUAGGGCAUCAAUAUCACUUCUGUGGUGUGAUAAUGAGGAACAUUAGAGCCAAUUCUCACCCAACUGAAACAUCACUUGGGAAACUACAAUAGCUGUUUUUAAGAAUAAUGGGGCUUCAUAAGAUUUGCCUCCAAAAUAUCCCCUCAAGUGGACAUCAAAAUUAGUGUGGCAGUUCCAUCCAGGGGAACCAUGAGCUGACAUUCUGAGAAAAUAUAGAAAAAUGUUGAGAUUGUUAGGUACACCUAUUGAGGGGUUGUUUGUACACCUGUAAGUAAAAAAGGAUUUUCAUUAUGUUAUGUAUUGGAUGUUGGAGGGACUGGAUAAUGAUCAGUUUCGGUAAUAGACUGAAACAAUUGAAUCUGCUCAUGUGGUUCUGAUGUUCACACACACACACCCCCAGAGAAAAUGGGCUUUCAUGUCAGUACAUGAGAAUGGGGACCAUUUUUAAAAUAUAUAUAUAUAUCACUGAUCCAGAGAAUGUCCAGCUUCACAGGCUGUGGCUUCAUAUUGGUGCAAUGCACACUUUGUAUCAAUAUAGCUGUGCAUACGUCUAAGGGCAGACUAGCAAUCCUUUGGGUUACUCACUGUGACUUGCUCACUGUGACUCUUCAGCGGUUUGGGAAUUUACACGAAAUGAUCUGGGUUGUUUAGCCAAUGUCAGGGAGAACUUUGGCUUGCCAGACGCAUGAAAUCAGAGAAGGUUCCUAUCUUGAUCUCUCCUGUUAGCAUCAGUAAAACUUAACAUGCUAACUAUGUUUACUUUGGCACAGUUGUCUUAGCUGAAGUCAAUGCAGCUUUCUUUAAAAGCCCGUAGAGGAACUGGCUCUUUAUUAAUGUCAAAGAAACCUGAGCAAACAAAGAAAUUAAAUAUGUCUAGGGCCCUGAUCCAGUGCUAGACGUACACAGAAAGCUAGAUGCAACACAGCUAAUGAGCCAAGAAUUGGGUGCACAUCCUAAGUUGUAUCAACAGAGGGAUUCGACUCAAACUACGUAGCUGCUGUGAUCUUGUAUAUUUUCUGUUGAUUGCUAGUAAAUUCACCCUGGCCUGAAAAGGAAACUCAAAAUGAGGUCCCUACCUGCUGCUAUAGCGCCUUCUGGAAGUUUGGAAUGACAACAUCCCUGAGCGCUCGGCAGCACUUAGGAGUUGUGGUCCAAAACAUCUGGAAGGCGUUAGGUAUAGGAAGAUCUAAGACUUCUCAAUAGCUGGAGGGUGGGAUGAUGUGCAGCUUAAUAUAGAAACAGCAGCAGCAGACAGUGAGUUUGGGCAGCAUCACCUACUGGACCACUUUGUUGUUGUUUAGUCAUUUAGUCGUGUCCGACUCUUCGUGACCCCAUGGACCAGAGCACGCCAGGCACUUCUGUCUUCCACUGCCUCCUGCAGUUUGGUCAAACUCAUGCUGGUAGCUUCCAGAACACUGUCCAACCAUCUCGUCCUCUGUCGUCCCCUUCUCCUUGUGCCCUCCAUCUUUCCCAACAUCAGGGUCUUUUCCAGGGAGUCUUCUCUUCUCAUGAGGUGGCCAAAGUAUUGGAGCCUCAGCUUCACGAUCUGUCCUUCCAGUGAGCACUCAGGGCUGAUUUCCUUCAGAAUGGAGAGGUUUGAUCUUCUUGCCGUUCAUGGGACUCUCAAGAGUCUCCUCCAGCACCAUAAUUCAAAAGCAUCAAUUCUUCGGCAGUCAGCCUUCUUUAUGGUCCAGCUCUCACUUCCAUACAUCACUACUGGGAAAACCAUAGCCUUUACUAUACUGGACCACUAGUCACCUGCAUUGCUGCUGCAUCAUAGGAUGGAGAGGGGUGGGGAGGAUGCAGCAGUGAGGUGAGCGCAGGGAGGGAAACACAGGUGAAACCAGUCCGGUGCUUCCACAAGUGCAUUUGCACUGUGCUGGCCUCAGCAACGCCUUGCCUCUUCCCCUCUUCCCCCUGUUAUGCAGCAGCAAUGUAGGCAACUGGAGGUGAGAUGAGUUAUACUGCCCCAUCCCACCAACUGCUACUGGCCAUGUACAACACUAGGCCUUUUUCGCCCUCCCAUCAUGACCCCAAGCACCUCUCAUUUUUUGCUACCUUUGUCUCACACAACAUCCAGCCUGGAGACGAGUCUUGCAAAGCUUUCUGAACGGAGUAGAUGAAACGUUGGUCCAUCUAACUCAGUAUUAUCUACAUUGACUGGAAGCAGCUCCCCACGAUUUCAGACAGGGAUUUCUCUUCUUGUCCUCCCUGGAGAUGCCAAAGUUUGAACCUAAGAUCUUCUGUGUGGAAAGCAGAUGUUCUCUUCUUCUUUGGCGAUCACUCGUAGCUGAGUAAGAUUGUCUUCCAUAAACACAGUUUUAACAGUGAGUCUGUAAGUGACUGUGGAGGCCAAUUCUGGAUCCACACGUCCUUCCACCGUGGGGACAUUGGCUUCCGGGCGGGAGUUGAUCAUGGUGAGGGUUUUGCCAAGCCUGCCUUCCUCUUAGCUCGUUUCUCCCUUUCAUCCUGAGUUCAAGCAUCUUCAAAGGCCAUGACACCUUUGGUAAAGGCUGUUCUCUCAAGCCAGUGUUUCCCAAUUGUCAGUGUUUACAUUUUACAAAUGUAACAAUUCAUUUUAGGGCUUUAUUUUUCUGAAUUAAAGUCAUGAAUUAAGUACUGCUACCUGCCUAUUUUUUUGAAAGCAUUAACCUGGUAGUCACAUGAUGUAGCUGUUGCCACAGAUAAAGGGCCUUUAUUGAGAUUAUUUUCAUAUUUGUUUUUGUUCUUCUACUUCCCUAGAUAAAGGUAAAGGGACCCCUGACCAUUAGGUCCAGUCGUGACCGACUCUGUGGUUGCAGCACUCAUCUCGCUUUAUUGGCCAAGGGAGCCAGCGUACAGCUUCCGGGUCAUGUGGCCAGCAUGACUAAGCCGCUUCUGGCGAACCAGAGCAGCGCACAGAAAUGCCGUUUACCUUCCUGCCAGAGUGGUACCUAUUUCUCUACUUGCACUUUGACAUGCUUUCGAACUGCUAGGUUGGCAGGAGCAGGGACAGAGCAACGGGAGCUCACCCCGUCGCGGGGAUUCGAACCGCCGACCUUCCGAUAGGCAAGUCCUCGGCUCUGUGGUUUAACCCACAGUGCCACCCAUGUGCCGUACUUCCCUAGAUAGCGAUCUGCAAAUUGACCCAACUCUUUUUGGGGGGAUGGGAGAAGGUAAUUUGUGCAUGUGGAAAAUGCUCCCUAGUAUUGGGGAAGAUGCAAAUUUAUAAGAAUUACAUUUGGGAAAUGAUGUGGCAUCUGCUCUUAUUUUUACCCUUUUAAGAAAUCCUCAUCAGGUAUCAUUUCAUUAUUCCACCCCAUUCAUUCCAAUGCAAAGUAAAUGCAAUGCAAAUGUCUCAUUUGUGGACUGAAAGUAACGACAACAGUGAAUACUGAUUAUAUUUAAUGAAUUGAUUUCCAUUCCAGACAUUAGGCAAAUAAGUGAACAUCAUCAGUUUUCGCUCCUGUUUCCAUUUUUCACCAGAAUUUCCCAACAUCCCAAGGCUGGACUAGAUUGCUACCAAGAUCACUUCAAACUGUGAUUGUAUGAUUCCUCUUGACCAUAUGCUCUCACUCCUUCCACAGCUGCUCUGAUCCCAUUAAUUAUCAGUUUGCAUGUUCUUAUUUUUUAUUUUUUAAAACCUUUCCCUUAGUUGCAAAGACUAAAUGAACGAUGGGACCUGUAUUUUUUUGUGUACUUACUUGUUAAAUGCUGCAUUGUAUUGCAUUCUUGGUUUGUUUUUGAAUAGUUUAAAUGUUUUUAUUGGUUUUAUAUUACAUUUUUAUUGUGCACCUCUGCAGCACUUAGACAUUUUAUAGAAACAUUAAGUGGUUUAGAAUUCUUUUGUCAAAUAAACAAACUAAAUACAUAAAAAGAACUUCAUAUCUAAGCUGGGCUUGCAGACUGCGGAAUCUUUCUUUUCAUCCACUGAGCUUAUUCAGCAAACUGGGGGACAGGAUAUGUGAAUUACUAGUACUUUUACAGAGAUUUUUUAAAAAACAACAACAACAAAACUUUAAAUAUUGUGAAGAAACCCAUCUAUUAUUUGGAGGGAGAGAGACUAUUUCCAUUGCAAAAACAAUGAAAAGAUCUGCCAUUCACAAACACCAAAGCCAAUGAAACCCAUCAAUGCAGGAAACAAUUUUCUGGGGGGGAAACAGUAUGAAAUACAACCAACACAACGAAAGGCAGUGUAAUGUAAACAAAAGUAAGUCUGGCUCCAAAUGUUUUAUUGUUUUUGGAAGGCUCCUUGGUGAACAUAUAUGUUUCUUCUUUCAAAUAUGAGAAGUGACAUAUAUAUAAAAUCGCAGGUCAAAAUAAAUUUAUCUUCCCAGCUGUGGGCCCCUCUGUUGUUGAUAAUGAGUGAGGGGUCAUAUCUCAGCAACAGAGAAUCUGCCUUGUAGGUAGAUGUUUCCAGAUUCAAUCCCCAGUAUCUCUAGGUAGGUCUGGGACUGGGAUAGCCUUAAACCCUGAAAAGCUGUGACCAAACCCUGUAGACAAUACUGGGCUUAGUGGACAAAUGGUGACCAAGACAGAUGUUUUAAAAGUUAUGUAUGACAUGGAGCAAGAGAUUAAAGUUUUUCUCCCUCUCGCAUACCAUUAGAACAGGCUUCCUUAAACUCUUCCCUCCAGAUGUUUUGAGACUACAAUUCCCCUCAUCCCUGACGACUGGUCCUGCUAGCUAGGGAUCAUGGGAGUUGUAGGCCAAAAACAUCUGGAGGGAAGAGUUUCAGGAAGCCUGCAUUAGAAUCACAGAAGCAAAGAAUUGUAGAGUUGAAAGGGACUCCGUGGGUCAUCUAUAGCCCAACCCUUGUAGAAAUCUCAACUACAGCAUCCAUGGCAGUUGGCCACCCAACCUCUGCUUUAAAAACCUCCAAGAAAUGAGAGUUGACCACCUGCCUAGAGAGACUGUUCGACUGUUUAACGGCUCCUACCAUCAGAAAGUUCUCCUGAUGUUGAGUCAGACUCUCCUUUCUUGUAACUUGAAGCCAUUGGUUCGGGUCCUGCCCGCCAGAGCAGGAAAAAACAAGAACCCUUGAAUCUGUUCCGUUCCUUUACCGCAUCCAUCUGCAAUUUUUUUUAAAAAAAAUAAUGCAUGGAAAUUUGCACUUACAUUCAUAUUCUACGUGUUUCACUCAAAAUACGCAUUUCUAAACACAUUUUCAUUCAAAAUAUGCAUAUUUGAAUGUAGCUUGGUUCUUUUUGAGCCCUGAAAUGCACAGCCAACAUUUGGAUAUGGGUGAAAUUCAGUGGAUAACAUUCUGCUCUGCUCCUAUCAACAUUUGCGAGGACUGGGUUCUUCAAGCAUUGCCGCUUGUCGCAUACUAACUCAGUUUCUCUUAUUCCACAUACUUCAUCUGCCGAGAGUUAAUGCACAAAUACUCUUGGCUAGAAAAAGCAUAUUUCCUACUCUGCUGGCAGUCCCACUGAGCUCCACGAGCAAAUAUUGUUAUUAAAUAUUGAUUUUUAAAUUGCUGGCUGGAUCUGACCCUUAGGUCCGUGCAAAUCAUUUGCUUUGUAUGCAUCGAAUUGUUAUUCCUUAGUCUGAAACAUUUAAGACUGCCGAUGGAUUGGCUUUUUCUUUUGUUGAGGUCAUUCUGCUUCAGUAUAAGCUAUUCCUAUUGUUCCAAAACAAGUUGUGACCGGUCAAGCCAGACAGAGCCCACGAACCCAAAAACUCUUUCCCGCCUCCCUUUUUACAUUCUCAGAGAAGCAGCAUGCUCCAUGUGCCUUCCUCUGCUCUAACUGAGCCUUCUUCCUGAAUCCCCUGCCUUACUCAUGAGUAGGCUCUCCUUUUGUGGUUAUUAUUGUGCUGAUGCUGAUUGCUUAUUAGAUAUCUUGCCUGCCUUUCACCGCAAGCCGCCAGAGCGGGUUGCAGGACUAUGAAAAAUAUCUUAUCAAAAUCUAUGAAAACACCUAACGAUCAGAAGAACAGAGUCUUCUUUGGCGAUCACUCGUAGCCGAGUAAGAUUGUCUUCCAUAAACACAGUUUUAACAAUGAGUCCGUAAGUGACUGUGGAAGCCAAUUCUGGAUCCACACGUCCUUCCACAGUGGAGACAUUGGUUUCCGGGCAGAAGUUGAUCACGGUGAGGGUUUGCGAAGUGUGCCUUCCUCUUAGCACGUUUCUCCCUUGCAUCCUGAGUUUGAGUGUCUUCAAAGCCCAUGACACCUUUGGUAAAGGCUGUUCUCCAACUGGAGCGCUCGCAGGCAAGUGUUUCCCAGUUGUCUGUGUUUAUACUACAUUUUUUUUUAGAUUUGCUUUGAGACAGUCUUUAAACCUCUUUUGUUGACCACCAGCAUUACACUUUCCAUUUUUAAGUUCGGAAUAGAGUAGUUGCUUUGGAAGACAAUAAUCAGGCAUCUGUACAACAUGACCAGUCCAAUGAAGUUGAUGUUGAAGAAUCAUUGCUUCAGCACUGGUGAUCUUUGCUUCUUCCCGUACACUGGCAUUAGUUUGCCUGUCUUCCCAAGUGAUAUGUAUAAUUUUUCGGAGACACCAUUGAUGGAAUCUUUCAAGGAGUUGGAACAGGGUAGUUCCUAUCUAUUUAUCUAUCUAACAGCAAAGUGGUCUGAUAUGUCCCCCUGGGCAAAAGCGUGCCAAAUAUCAGGACCGGCCCAAUCAUUAGGCAGAGUGGGGAAGCUGCUUCAGGCAACGAGUGCUAUGGGAGGAUUGUGGCAGCUAGAUGAGUGAGUAGCAAAAAAUGGUCGACAGACAGAGAUGUGUGUUAUGUAACGUUUGCCCUGAGCAUCCUAAGUUAACUCUCUGUUGUUUCUCUAGCAGGGACCACUGAACCCAUAGCCAGUCAUAAAACAAGCUAUUCUGUGGAGUAGAAGACAACGAAAACACUCCCUGUUUUGUGCUCAUGUUGUAUAGCCCUAAAGUGGUAGCCAUCUUGGCUCACCAUUGAUCUCAUCUGCAUUCCAAUUAGUGACUAAGGAGUCUCAGUAGGCCAUUUACAAACCCCCUGUGCCAUCUAGUCACUAGAACGUAUUUUGUUUAUAAUGGCUUAUUGAUCCGGCGGAACAUAACAGCUUCCAUGGCCAUGUGUUAAUCUAGCUCCAAAGCAUGCCCACUUCUGGUUUUAAGGUUGUUGCGUGUAAUACUUAUUAGCAAUAAUGAGAAGUAUGUGCUCACACAGAAGGGAAUGGUAGUUCUGAGGUUGCAUGCUGCUAAUAUAAAUCCUCGGUCCACCCUAUUUCAGUUAUUGAGGGAACAUUGAGGAUUUAUAAGCAUUGACUGGUAUUGUUGUCUCAAUGAAUCAAGUGUUGUUUCCUUGUGAGAAAAUGUGAAAAAUACUUUUUUUUGAAAAUUUCCUUGAUUUGUUUUAAGAAGCCUGCCUCCAUUCUCCCUCUGAUUUCUUGAAAUAUACUCGGAGUCGAGAGUGGAUUUCAUGCUCUUUAUUCAGCUCAUAGUGGUGAGGAGGAAUGGAAGUUCCCCCAGAAUGUCUGCUUUAUAUACAUUAUUUACACAAUGGGCCCCACGUGAUAGGCUAAUUCCAGGAUUCUCCUGCAGGCCAAUCAGGUUGCGGAUUCACUUCCACCUGGAGCUGGAUUGGGUGGCUCCUGUGGACGAAUCAGACUGCUACAUUCUGAAUCCUACUCUUCUAGGACCAAUCAGACUGCUGCAUUCUGAAUCCUAUUGUUCUAGGACCAAUCAGACUGCUGUAUUUUGGAUCCUAUUCAACUCAGUACAUAACAUUUCUGCUAGAAUUCAAAGCUGCUGUUAUGGGAGAAGCAAGACCCUCUCAGAAUGUCAAUGCUGUGAGCCCCUCCAUUGCAGGCACAGGUUGUAUAUUUGUGGGAAUAAGUCAUAUAUCAUAAAGACGCCACAAGCUCUGCUGCGUUUCAUCCCCAAAAGGAAACAUGGAUUCUUGAGUAAGCCGCUGGAAGCCCUGGGAUCUCAACCACUCAGAGAUUGGGGUGGCAAGCAAAAAUACUAAAAUAGUGGGUGGCAAGGAAGAUUUCUCAAUACCCUGGAUUCUAAAACCUCUUUAAAGUAGCAGUCUGCCAACUCCAGCGCCUUUACAGUACAUCGUUUGAUUUCUAACUUCUUUAAUUUAACAGCUUCCAUAAUUGGGAACAGAAGAGAGGGAUUGAAUUAGUGGAAUAUAAACUAUGCUGUGUGUGUGUGUUUAAGCAAGCACAUUUGAAUUAGGUUAAUUUGAUUCAGAAUAAUUUCCUCAAAUUUGUUGCAGGUUACCCCUCUUAGAAAAGUAAAUACAAAUCAUAUUCCUAUCUUUAGGUAAUUUACUCCUUCCCCUGCUCUGAGAAUCAGGGAAUUUGGAAUUAGAGAAAGGAUUGCAAGCGGGUUGGACUACAAUACCUUUUAGGUGCCUUCUAGCACUGUGAACCGCUAUUAGUCGUUAUAACUAGGAGUGGAGGAGAAAUUUGAUGCAGUUCACAUUUAAUGAGCAGCAUACCAAACUGCAGGAGGAAAAGGAAGACAGGAGUGCCUGGCGUGCUCUGGUCCAUGGGGUCACGAAGACUAAACGACUAAACAACUAAACAACAACAAGAACCUAACUCACACUCUCCAAAACAAGAUGUGAACCUAAACACCAACCAGUCCUUUGAAAUGUGCAUUUCUCUGAAUUUUGUUAUGUAGUUCUCCCAGCCAUGAGACAAGGUGAAAAAAAUGCACUGUCCCAGGAAAAAGUGUUUUGCAAAAAUGUGUCUAUUAGGCAAAAUUGCCUACAGAUGUGGAUAUUAAGAGAAAUUUGCACCAAAAUGCUGAUGGAUCUCCAUGGGGACUUUUAUUUAAUUUCCCUCUUUGUUCUUUUGCAAAGUCGAAGUGGAAAUGUCGAGAAAUGGAUUUGAGAUUGGAAACAGAGAAACUGAAAUUGACAGAACUGCCUGUCCCUGACAGAAACUAAAUGGAAUCUCCAUGUACAGAUG